CUGCUCACAUUUUGACGCUGUCGAUUGCUGCCCGGUGCGCCGCCAUAUUUAAUGCGCAAGUGUUUUUAAGAAUUGGUUCUGAUAAAAAUUGAUCUUUUGCAGCAUAAUAAAGAAACCAACUCGCUUCGAUAAAGUUUUCUGCCGUGAGCUAUUCGACCGCUUUAUAUUUGUCACCCACCUGAGUGGAGGAUGGAGAAAUGUACGAACCCCCUUAUACCUAUCCGGAAAACGACGUUAUUACGCGUAUAGGAAGUUGAAUACAGCGGAAACUGGUUCCGUGGAGGGAACCUUCUAUGAAGUAAAGGAAUCGGAUCCGAGAUAGGAUCUAUUUGCAUGUAUCAACAUACUCGUACCCGUCAUACUAAUUUUCCCGGAUAGCCAAAUGUCCUUCGAAAGGUUUUAUCGUUUUUCACCUGUGGCAAUGUAUGUACACGACCAACUAUUUUAUGAUACUGGCACCUAAUCGGAAAGAAUUUCGGUGUCGAUAGUGUUUGACGUCGUCCCAGAACGCCGACUUCCGUGCCGCUCGGAUAUGUUCUUUCCACGGUGGUGAUUCGUCCGAAACAGCCUGGCAGUUUCGAGUGACAGACCACACAGCUUUCGCCAUGCCAUUUCAUCAGAUUAGAAGAUCAUGUUCAGGACGAUACGCUGCCCAUAGCUGAUAAUUCCAUGACACUUCAGAGCUGCGGAUGGCCUGAACAGGCCAACGAAUGAUACUCUAGCCUUCCAAUAGGCGAACAAUGCUACCGGUAUGAGAGGAAUGGUAACCUUGAAGUGUUGAAUUUCACUAUGCCAUUUCAGCAUUAUAUAGAAAACAUCGUAACCCGAUCUGUGGGUACAAAAUUAAUUUUCUUUGUAAUUUGUACAGUAUUGAAAAAAAUAAUAGUAAGUAAGAACAAUAAAAUAUUGUUUUAGUGCAAAUUCAAUAAA